rnacentral:rRNA from 1 species
GGAUUGAAGCUUGCUUCAAUUGCCUGGCGACCGGCGCACGGGUGCGUAACGCGUAUGUAACCUACCUAUAACAGGGGCAUAACACUGAGAAAUUGGUACUAAUUCCCCAUAAUAUUCGGAGAGGCAUCUCUCCGGGUUGAAAACUCCGGUGGUUAUAGAUGGACAUGCGUUGUAUUAGCUAGUUGGUGAGGUAACGGCUCACCAAGGCAACGAUACAUAGGGGGACUGAGAGGUUAACCCCCCACACUGGUACUGAGACACGGACCAGACUCCUACGGGAGGCAGCAGUGAGGAAUAUUGGUCAAUGGACGCAAGUCUGAACCAGCCAUGCCGCGUGCAGGAAGACGGCUCUAUGAGUUGUAAACUGCUUUUGUACGAGGGUAAACUCACCUACGUGUAGGUGACUGAAAGUAUCGUACGAAUAAGGAUCGGCUAACUCCGUGCCAGCAGCCGCGGUAAUACGGAGGAUUCAAGCGUUAUCCGGAUUUAUUGGGUUUAAAGGGUGCGUAGGCGGUUUGAUAAGUUAGAGGUGAAAUCCCGGGGCUUAACUCCGGAACUGCCUCUUAUACUGUUAGACUAGAGAGUAGUUGCGGUAGGCGGAAUGUAUGGUGUAGCGGUGAUAUGCUUAGAGAUCAUACAGUACACCGAUUGCGAAGGC